ensembl:lncRNA
UGUCAGUUAUCACUUGAUGCUCCUUGAGGAAAUGGCUAAGGAGAUUAGAUGUCACUCUCCCCAGUCAGCCCCACUAGAGGAAGGUUUCUAUGCCCCUUCCUCAGAGAGGAUUAGUGGAAGGCCUUGAUCAGGGCCUUACCACUGAGGGAAUGGUCUUAGGCAGGAGACCUGUUCCCAGUUUCUUGAAGCACUUUUCCUACUAUGAUUAAAAGAUCAAUACAGAAAUCUGACUGCUAUUGAGGGAUUUAUUAAUAGUGUUAGGUAAAUUGGUUGAGGACAGAGGGUGUGGAUAGCCCUGUCAAAUUUCUAAGUGGUCCGUGGUCCAAUGGGCCUGUAACAGUGCCCACAGAUGUCUCCGCCCCUUCCCAGCUAAAUAGCCCCUUCUAUUGAUUAAAAUGCUAGUUUGUCCUGAAGAAAUGAGUAAUAAAUAGUUCAAGGUGGCAGGGACAGUCAAGGGAAGUGUGUCCUGUUUUGAGAGUCCAAGCAGACCCCUCUAAGGGGACUGAAAUGUCUUUCUUCAGAAAGAGAGAAGCAGUAGUUGUUUAUUUGAUGAGAGAUCAGUAACAAGCUUGGAGAAAGAAGCAAGGUCCUCUCGGGUGGCUUCAGUAAAUCCUUCAGCCUCCCAAAACUGGACUUCCCAGCUCCAGGUCCCAAGGUAGAAGACCAAGAGGAUCCUCAGAAUCUCCUCAGAACUGUGUCUGGACCUCAGGAGAUCAAAGUUCUGAUACUCAGACUUCUCUGUAUGGGGUUCAGGGAGGUUCCAUCCUGUUUCAGUUGAACACAAGCUUAGGAAAAAUGAUCCAAAGGGUCGAUUGGAGCCUUGACUCUAAGAAAAAACAUCUGCCUCUGUUCAGCCUCGAGCCUGAGACUGGGAAUCUAACUUUGAAGAAGAGUCUCCUCUGGAACAGAUAUGAGCAAAGAGCUCAUGUAACACCAACAUCCCUGAGAAUUGACAACCUCAUUCUUGAGGAUAAUGGAAACUUCAAAGUCCGAAUACAUCAUGAUGAAGUAAUCAGUGAACAAAGUUUCUUUCUCUCUAUUUAUGAACCGAUUCUCCCCAAGAUCAAGAUAAUCUCAAAGUCCCAGACAUCAGAUGGAUGCAACCUCACCUUGGAGUGCCAGAUCCUGAAGAUCUCAAAUGAUACAACUGUAACCUGGGGAAGUGGAGAUAUCCCCAAGAGGCAGGAGGAGAGCCUAGGGCUGCCCUCCAAUUCUAGGAUACUGAAUCUGUCCCUACCACCGAACCUCCAGAAUUCCUCUGUCACUUGCUUGGCUAAGAACCCUGCAGAGCAACAAAAGUCGACAUUAAAACUAAGUGAUGCCUGUCCUGAGAAGUCUUCAAAUCCCCAAACCCCAAAGUCACCAUGGUUCAUUGGAAGUUUCCUUCUGGUCAUAUUGCUGGUGAUCCUGGGGAUUGGAUUGUCGAUCGACAGAAGAAAAGAAAGGAAGAAAGAAGUUAUGGAUUCUCCAGAGAAUAAGAGAAAUAGUGACAUGAACAUCCAAGAUGCAGUGCUCAGACCAAGUAGACCUGAAGACCAGAACCAGGUGAUUGGGAGUUGGGAACCUCUCAGGGCUCUCUGUAGUCCUCUCAUCCUCUAGUUCUGCCCUGUUGCCCUUUUCUAUUUACUGAUGCAAAAGAUGUCAGGAUGCUGUAAUAGGAGACCAGAAACUCAGUUCAUUCCUAGCUGUGUGAUUUUAGAGCAAGUCAAUGCAAUGGAAGAUUUCUUCCAAAGUCAAUCAAAUUCAGUUACCAUCUUAUGAUCUCUGAUAUUGUUGGCACCAUCCUAGGUGCUGUGUGUUUCUCUAGUACCUGCUAGAGACUUGGUUCUGUGCCUCUCCCUAAAUCUCCAUUUCUACCCUCCCCCCACCUAAGUCCUACUAUCUCUGCUAUCUUCUAGUGCCAAGAGGCUAGUGAGCAGCACCCACAGGAGGGGAAGCAUCUCACCACCAUUUACAGUGAGAUCCAUAAUCCUCAGAUCAUGCUCAGGUAAUGGGGAUAUAGUUGGGGAGAUUCUGAGGGUUUAAGCUAGGAUAGGAUAUAAAAUGGGAGCUCAGGGUCCCCAAUAUGCAAGCCUAUAACCUUUCUUCCAAUAUGUCAAUGUAUUUGAAAGCUUCUUCCCUACCUCUCUGUCUCCCCAAGAUCUUGUCAUUGACAUGUGGCUUGACCACAAAACAUCUUUCUGAUUUGAAGAUCUUCUUAGUUUGUGAAGAGAAGAAACCAACUCAAGAUGUACUCUUGAAGGGGGGGGGGAGGGCAUGGAGUUUUUCAUGCCUGAUUAUACUGGGAGUUUGGGGAGUCCUCUUGAAGAGAAUGAAGAGGGAUAAAAGGAGAAAUAGUGAUUGUCCCACAUGGUGGUGUGAACUAGGUGGCAGCUAUAACCUGUCAUCUAUAAUUGUUUUCAUUAGGACAGGAGAAGUGACCAUCAUCUAAAUAGUUAAGGUAGGAGGUAUAUGUGACUGGGUGUGCUUUAUUGAGGUGCUUGCUCCAAAAGCAGGAACACAGAGAGAAACAAGAUAGGUAAGAGAGGAACAAAAAAUGUGCCUUACCUUGUUCUAGUUGAAUUUCUGUAAUGAAAGAAUCCUCAGAUUCCCCCUGGAUACAAGUGUAGACAUUUCCUGUCUGACUGACCCACAGCCCCUGAUGCCUGUACUUGCCCAAUCAUGUAAUCCAUUGUGUUUGUGUUUGUAACCCAUGGAUACUUGUAGAAACCCCUGAUUGUGUAUGUGUAUAAAAUAGCCAGAGCCUCUGGCUUUGGGUCCCAGACUUGAGGAAUGAUCCUGUCUGGGACUGUGUGUAAUCAAUCUCCUCCUUAGUCUGAGUGAUGUUGUGGUUUCCUCUUGCCUGGCCAAGCAGAAAAUUCCAUAGUUAAAAUUAUUUUGUUAAAUGCAGUUGCAAAAGACAUCUAUUGGAUAACAUGCCACACUUGGAGUUGGGAAACCUGUCUUCACAUUAGACACUUUCUAGUUGGUGUCCCUAGAUAAGUCACUUAACUCUGAUUACAGACCUUGUUGCUCUUCUUUCUAUCUUAGAAUUGAUCCUAAGAAAUACAUUAGGCAGAUUUAAGAUGAUUUCUCAUAAGCAUCUGUGGUUGACCCUAUCUUUAUACUCCUGGGUGUCCUUUUGUUUGUGGUAUGAGGGUACAAUAGGAGCCAUUUGGAGAGAGGAAUCUUUCUUAGCAUCGAGCUAGCUGUUCUGCCCCCAGUCCAUUGAAUUUUGUGCUCUAAUUGGGGGUAUAGAAUGAGCCAUUUUGUAACUAUCCUAUAGAGUUCAGAAUCCAUUUGAAUUCAGAUCCUAUUUCCAUAAACCUACCUCUUAGAUGUGAGUCAGAUUUCAUGCCAAAUAACGUGUGUGUAUGUGUGUGUGUGUGUGUGUGUGUGUGUGUUGUUUUUGCUCAGAUAUGUCCAUCUGGGUCUAUCUAGAGGGGCUUGCAGGGGGUUGAGAAUAGACAUUGCUAUUGUCUCUUCCCCUCCUGCAUCUCUAAGAGAUGAUUCCUGCCAGGAGAGGAAGAGGAAGAGAGAAGAAGAUUGGGGCUAGAAAAUGGUCGCCCUGUUUUCCUCAGAGAAAGGAAUACUACACUAGAAUUCUAUUUAUUGAUUCAUUCUGUUAAACUUUACCAGUUUAUAGAAAACAGUUUUUAGGUUUGAUAUAAAUUCCCAAUUGCUAUUCCUUAAUGGAGGAGUACCUCAACUCUGUACCCAAGACUUGACCCUCUUGCCACCACAUCCAAGCUCCUCAAUGAACAAACAAUAAAUAAACCCCUUAUUCCA